GUCCACGCCGUAACUAUGGAUACUAGGUGUCCGGAUGUUAACCUCCUGGGUACCGAAGCUCACGCAUUAAGUAUCCCGCCUGGGAGUACGGUCGCAAGACUAAACUCAAGGAAUUGACGGGCCCGCACAAGCGGCGGAGCAUGUUGCUUAAUUCGAUGCGACGCGAAGAACCUUACCUGGGCUUGACAUGCAGGGUGAAACCCGUGAAGCGGGCGCUCUUCGGAGCCUGCACAGGUGGUGCAUGGCUGUCGU
rnacentral:rRNA from 1 species